rnacentral:lncRNA from 1 species
UCAAUAUCUUAGAAGUAACCCAAAAGAUUCAACGUACUAUACCAUUUGUUCUAAGACUAUAUUAUAUUAAAGUUAAUAUGGUGAAGCUGAAAUUCGCAUACAAACUAAUAACCAUUACAAAAGGAACUCUAUACAGUUAAAAAAAAUUGCAAAACACCCCCUAAAAAGACACAUAAACCCAACAAUCCAACCCCAACAAACCAAAGAACACAUUUUCAACACUAAACCCAAUACCUUUACACUCACUAACAAUAAAAAGAAAACCUAAACACAACAAACCAACCUGUAGGGAAAACUAAACCCAAACCCCCCACCUCACCCCCCCUAAACCCUAAACCCAAUACAAUACCCACUUGACAACAAACCAACCCGUAGGGAAAACUAAACCCAAACCCCCCACCU